rnacentral:rRNA from 1 species
AGUGAACGCUGGCGGUAGGCCUAACACAUGCAAGUCGAACGGCAGCACAGGAGAGCUUGCUCUCUGGGUGGCGAGUGGCGGACGGGUGAGGAAUACAUCGGAAUCUACUCUGUCGUGGGGGAUAACGUAGGGAAACUUACGCUAAUACCGCAUACGACCUACGGGUGAAAGCAGGUGACCUUCGGGCCUUGCGCGAUUGAAUGAGCCGAUGUCGGAUUAGCUAGUUGGCGGGGUAAAGGCCCACCAAGGCGACGAUCCGUAGCUGGUCUGAGAGGAUGAACAGCCACACUGGAACUGAGACACGGUCCAGACUCCUACGGGAGGCAGCAGUGGGGAAUAUUGGACAAUGGGCGCAAGCCUGAUCCAGCCAUACCGCGUGGGUGAAGAAGGCCUUCGGGUUGUAAAGCCCUUUUGUUGGGAAAGAAAUCCAGCUGGCUAAUACCCGGUUGGGAUGACGGUACCCAAAGAAUAAGCACCGGCUAACUUCGUGCCAGCCGCCGCAGUAA